UCCCUGGUGGGCCAGUGGUUAAGGCUCCACGCUUACAAUGCAGGGGGCCCAGGUUUGAUCCCUGGUCAGGGAA
rfam:TPA: Bos taurus chromosome 25, whole genome shotgun sequence.